rnacentral:lncRNA from 1 species
CCUCUCAAGUCUCAACCCUGCGUUCCAGUGUUUGUAGAGCAGCCUGCAUGAUAAUGCAGGUGCAGCAAGCACCUUGCUACAGCGCUAGACAGUGAUGGAGGGAAAGAGCGCUUGAGAGAGAUGAGAGGGAGAGGGAGAGGGAGACGCUGAUUUGUGGGGUGGAGGCGAGACAUCGGGUCGACACGAUCACAAGAAGGGAUAAGGCUGAUGCGUCGGCUGGUAGUAUCCUUUCAUUUUAUAAUGUAAUGCGCUUGACGUUCUUUAGGUUUAAUUUUGUGUACAAAUUAAACUAACAUAGACGAUUGAGAUGGAU